rnacentral:rRNA from 1 species
AUGGAGGCUGCUGCUCGGGCAUUGACCCCUGUCCUCCGUAAGCUCGGUGAGCUGCUCGCCAAAGAAUACAACCUGGAGAACCGAGUAAAGAAAGGUGUACAGUCACUCCUUAUAGAGCUGGAGAUGAUGCACGCCGUACUUCGUGAGGUUGGCAAGGUGCCGCCGGAUCAGCUCCAGGAGCCGGUUCGGAUUUGGGCUGGCAAGGUGAGAGACCUGUCUUGUGACAUGGAAGACGCUGUUGACGACUUCCUGGUGCGUGUGGGUGAGGGUUCAGGCAGUAAGCCAACGGACAUGAGGAGUCGAGUCAAUAAGUUCCUCAAGAAGAUCACCACAUUAUUUGGUAAGGGCAAAGCACUUCAUCAAAUCUGUGAUGCCAUCAAAGAAGCUCAGGAUCUUGCCAAGGAGUUGGCAGAGCUGCGUAAAAAGUAUGAGCUUGACAUGCGUAGCACUAGCAAUGGUGCUACCAUUGACCCUCGUGUGUUAGCUCUGCAAAAGGAUGUAGGGGAGCUUGUUGGGCUUGACCGCACAAGGGAUGAACUUAUUAAAACACUUAUUUCCGAGGAUGGGAGUUCCAAGGAGCAAUUGAAGACAAUCUCUAUUGUUGGUGUUGGUGGACUGGGCAAGACAACCCUCACCAAAGCAGUUUUUGAGAAGAUCAAAUCCCAAUUUGAUUGUGCAGCUUUUGUCCCCGUUGGUCAGAACCCAGAUAUCAAGAAAGUUUUCAAGGACUUACUAUAUGGCCUUAACAAGGGAAAGUUCAAUGACAUUCAUAAUACAGCAAGGGAUGAGAAACUGCUCAUGGAGGAAAUCAGUGAAUUUCUUGUGGAUAAGAAGUACCUCGUCGUAAUUGAUGAUAUAUGGGAAGAAGAAAUAUGGAGAUUUAUAAAUUGUGCUUUGUGUAAAAACAAACUCCAUAGUCGGGUAAUCACAACAACUCGCAACGUGAGUGUGUCCAAAGCAAGUCUCUCUUCCAGUGAUGACAUGAUUCACAAAAUGAAACCUCUUUCUGAUGAAGACUCGCAAAUACUCUUCCAUAGAAGAAUAUUUCAAAGCAAGGAGAAAUGUCCAGAAGAUUUGCAGGCAGUAUCAAGAGAGAUAUUGAAGAAAUGUGGUGGUGUGCCAUUAGCCAUCAUUACAAUAGCUAGCCUUCUAGUCAGUAACCAAAGGAUAAAGCAGAAAGAAGAAUGGAUGCAUGUGCACAGUUCGAUGGGCCGUGGAGUUACAGAAGGUGGUAUUGUGAAGGACAUGAAGAGGAUAUUAUCACUCAGCUAUUAUGAUUUGCCGUCGCAUCUAAAGACUUGUUUGUUAUACCUAAGCAUCUUUCCUGAAGACUUUGAGAUUGAGAGAGAUUGGCUGAUAUGGAGGUGGCUUGCUGAAGGGUUUAUCCAUUGUGACAAAGAAGAAACCAGGCUGUUUGAGAUCGGAGAGAGCUACUUCAACGAGCUUAUGAACAGGAGCUUGAUCCAGCCAGCAGAAAUCAAUGAGGAAGGCACGGUAGUAACUUGCCGUAUACAUGAUAUGGUGCUUGACCUUAUAUGCUCACUGUCAAGUGAAGAGAAUUUUAUCUCCAUAUUGGAUAAUGAUAACUGGCAUGCACCUAAUAUGCAAAGGAAAUCUCGCAGGCUAUCACUUCAUAAUAUCAAGGCAAAGGUUCAGAACCAUCAGUUUGAUAGCACUAGCCUGUCAAAAGUGAGGACCUUUGCUGUUUUUUCUCCUGUUACUUGUGAUUGGUUGCCAUUUCUCUCAAGCUUUCAAUUUUUGCGUGUGCUGGAUCUUGGAAAUUGUGGCAGCCAUAAAAGUAGCUCUGGUAUCAGCCUCAAGUAUGUAGGGAAUUUAAUUCACCUAAGGUACCUUGGGCUAAGGAAUGCAGAUGUUGAUGAACUCCCAACGGACAUAGGCAAGUUACAGCUUUUGCAGACACUGGAUAUAACAAACACUAUUAUAAAAGAAUUACCUUCAAGUGUUGUACAGCUCAGAAAUUUGAUAUGUCUAUGUGUCAAUUAUAACGUGAGGCUGCCAAAAGGAAUGGGGAAGUUGAAGUCCCUCGAAGUACUGAAUGAAGUAGGCUUAUCCUCAUCUCCUCACAUUGUGAAAGAGCUGAGCCAUCUGACAGAGGUUAGGACACUCGAUGUUGACUGUUAUAACAUGGACGAGGAUCUGAUUGAUAUAUUAAUCAAGUCUCUAGGCAAGUUGCACAAAUUGCAAAAUCUGCGUAUUGAUUUUGGUGUCAGAUUGAUGGAUCGCAUAUUUGAAAGCUGGGUGCCCCCUCCAAACCUCCGUUGUUUUGAUUCACAUGGCCUCUUUUCUCCUGCGUGGUUCUCGCGACUUCCAAAGUGGGUUAAUUCAAGUUCGCUUCCCCACCUCUCCACCCUGAAUAUAGAAGUGGAAGAAUUGCAAGGGGAUGACAUUCAGAUCAUUGGGAUGCUGCCUGCUCUUCGGUUUCUGCGGCUGCUUGCAAGUCGCGUGAUGGGAAGGUUGGUUGUGAGGGCCGAUGCAUUCCCAUCUGCGAGAUGCUGCAUGUUGAGAGGGUUUCCGACGGCGCCGUGCCUUUUCCCACCUGGAGCUAUGCCAAGGGUUCAGCAGUUUGAGUUCGAGGUCUCUGCGUCGUCGAUCGCGAGUGGCGAGGUUGACUGCGGCAUGGGCCACCUCCCUUCUCUCGAGCAUGUUGAGGUUUGUCUGGAGCAUGAGAAUUCCAGCGAUGAAGAGAUGGAGACAGCCAAGGCUUGGCUGAGGCGCGCAGCAGAAGCCCAUCCAAAACGUCCCACCGUUGAAACAUCUAUGAUAUGGUAUUCUCAUCUGAGCAACCUGUGGAGGAACGUCGUACCCAUCCUGGGCGACGGCUACGUGUUAAUAUAG